UGGGUAACCUGCCUCAAAGAGGGGAAUAGCCUCCCGAAAGGGAGAUUAAUACCGCAUAAUAUGUUUAAGUCGCAUGACUUUAACAUCAAAGGAUUUUCUUUUAGAACUUCCACUUUGAGAUGGACCCGCGGCGCAUUAGCUAGUUGGUGAGGUAACGGCUCACCAAGGCAACGAUGCGUAGCCGACCUGAGAGGGUGAUCGGCCACAUUGGAACUGAGACACGGUCCAGACUCCUAGGGAGG
rnacentral:rRNA from 1 species